rnacentral:rRNA from 1 species
AUGGAAGAUCCACUCGAAUAUAUAAUCGGCUUUAUGAAUGGCGUUCAUGAUGAGCAGACACUAGACUCAAUCUGGAUAAGAAGCGAUACACCGUACCGGAUCGAAAUCAGCCUCAGAAAGCUGAAGGACACACUAUUUCAUACUUCAGCAAGCCUACAUCCCGAAUGCUUCAAUCUCGCUGUUCGUAAGCUUGUGAGCACUCAACUAGAGAGGCAUGCAGGCACCAACAUGGUUGGAGGAAAACAUUAUUUUGACUUGCAGUUUCAUGCUCAAUCACGAGCUCUAAGGUAUUCCUGGAUGCCGCAAGGGCAGCGCACCUCGACGCUGAUCAACAAUGCUGUUCUACAGCCCUUUCCUGGUUAUGAUGUGUUCAACUCCACAAUUUAUCUACUUCCGUUGUCUAUCCCGGAUUUCUCGUAUGGUCUAUUUGUGGAUCCAAUUAUGCUAAGGAGCCAAGUGGUAGUCCAGAUGCUCAUGGUGAAAGACAAUCUAGCUGCUGGAAACAUCCCUCAGGAGAUUAUGACGGCCUUGAGGCGCUCGCCUUUGCGCGGUUAA